rnacentral:misc_RNA from 1 species
CACCCGCAAUGCAAUUUAUUUAUUAUCGAAUAACGCGAAGGCAGUACAGAUUAAUAUAGAGGAGCGUCUGCCACCACCGCCGUUAUCACAACGAACAGGAUCCAUAAUACACGACCGACGGUGGAUAGUUUAUCAUUUUCGACUUCGUUUCCUGGCUGAACACAUCAAUGAUGAUACUGUAUACAAGAAAAAGGAUCAGGUGUUUAUCAUAUCGCCCAGGUAGCGGUUUACAUGGUUUCUUACUUUUGAUGAUCUUCACAACUACAUUAGCACAGAAAUCAGCCACAAAUCUUCAGUGUGAAAAUGGAUGGUAUUUGAUAUCUGGACAGUGUUACUCUAUCUUCAAUUCUUCUCAAACAUGGCACCAAGCUAACUCCACGUGUAACAGCUAUUCAUCAAUUCUAGCUGAACCUUUAGGGUAUCAUGUCAAUAAGAGGCUUGGAGAUACCAUCAGUAAACUAAACAGAAACUAUGUUAAUGCAUGGAUUGGUUACACAUAUCUAAAUGCUCAGAAAUCUGUGACAAAUAUCACCAAACCAUUUUGGAGUGAUGGAUCUGAAAGUAGUGUUGCAUUUGGUUUGUGGGGAGACAGCCAACCCAGCCUAGAACAAGGAAAAUGUUGCAAUUUAAAAUAUUCAAACGAACAAUGGAAAUGGUCUUUAAAUCGUUGUAGCAACCCAGAACCAUUUAUUUGCCAGAAGCCAGCAUGCCCAAAAGACACAUUUAACUGUGGCCUGACGGGCCAACGUAAAGGAAGAUGUCUGGAUAGAAGCAAAGUAUGUGAUGGCCAUACUGAUUGUGAGAAUGGUCUGGAUGAAGCCGACUGUGCUGAAGACUGCCAAUUUUUAUUGAAACAAUCUGAGGGUGAAAUUAAACUUACAAAUAUUAUUCAAAGACUUGCAAAGUCGUUGAGCUGUCAAUGGAUCAUAGAAGGAAAAGUUGGCAGCAAGCUUCAAAUCUGGUUUGAAUCAACAGACAUCUUGCAGGAUCAAGCAGAGCUUGAAGUUUGGGUUGGAGCAAGGUCAGUCUCUGAAAGCUAUCUUGCUGCCAUUCUAAAGGAACCAAGAAAACCUGCUGAAUACAUCUUAAGUUACAAUAACUUUAUUAUUAUAAGGCUCCAGGUUCAAUCUACAGAAAAUCUGAAAUCCUUUCAAAUAAAGUGGCUUUCAGGUCUAAGAUGUUCUUGGAUCCCAUACCCUCAUCAUGUACAUCUGGAGAGUGAGCCAACCCACUGUGAACAAUGUGACUUAAAUAAAUGCAUGGAAACUUGUGAAAAGUUGAAGAAUUGUUCUAUGAUAACAGUUAACCAUGACAAAGGUUUAUGUGAACUGUACCCCAUGGUACCACUAUCAGUUGAAUCUAGUUGUUGUGAUAGCUAUGUCAAGUCUUGUCCUGAAGCUACUGAUUCCUCUGAUUUGUUGUCACGUGAUGCAGUAUUAAUGUCUACAGAUGAAUAUCAGAGUAUCUACUCCCCAUUGUAUCCAAAUAUGCCUCCUGGUAAUAUGGAAAAGACAUGGCUAUUAUUAGCUCCUUUUGGGGAUAUUGUUACUCUUCAGGUCCAAGAUUUGAUGUUGAGUAAUGAAGAUGAACUUAUUGUGUAUAAUGGAGAAUCUGAUCUGUCAGAAAUUUAUGUAAAGUUCACAAAUGCAGCUUAUCAAUACUCAACACCCAUUAUCUCCACUAAAAAUACUAUGUAUAUAAAAUACAACACUGGAAUCUUUCCCAACAAAAGUCGUGGAUUUCUUGCUAAAUUCAGAAAAGGUUGUACUUUCAAAGUUGAUUCUAAUUUUGGAUAUGUUAGUUCCCCUGGUUAUGGCACUACAUUUUCUUACCCUCCUAAUGUAGUCUGUGAAUGGGAAAUUGCCCCAAAGUCAACUAUGAAACACUUAAUACUUGAAUUCUCACCAAAAUUUGGUUUGGAAAAUGGCAAAGACUUUCUUGAGGUCUACAAUGGAACUAUUUCUUUUGAAAACAAGUUGCACCAGGGUGAAGGUUUUACAGGAACUACAGUUCCUCCUAUUCUAACCUCAAAUUCUCAAAAAUUCAUCUUAACAUUAAGGACAAGUGCCAACACUGCUGGUGUUGGUUUCAAUGCUACAUUUUAUGGAGAUAGCUACUGUGGACCAGUUCCAGUUUUAGAGGGGGGACGUUGGAUACAUACCUCUGGAUUUAAUACUGGAAACAAUGCUACAUUUGAAUGCUUUGAGAACUUUGAGGCAAAAUCUGGAAAUACGAUCUAUUGUGACAAGAAUGGUAAUUGGGAACCACAACCAGAAUGUUCAGUGAAAACUUGUCCUACUUUGCAACCUGUUCUUGGUGGUACAUGGGAGAAUAUUCAGAACAUAAAUGGUUUGAUGAUAUUUCAUCUUACUUGUAAGACACCAAAUUAUCAAAUCUCAGGUAGUCCAGAUGUAUUCUGCUGGAAUGGAACUUGGUCAGGGAAUCCAACUUGUUGUCGGCAGAAAUGCAAUUUGAAGAUGUUUGCUAAUGUCAUUGACAGGACUAGCAUCACUGGUUACAUGAAAGGGGACAGUGUGAAUAUUACAUGUGCACAAGGCUAUAAAUUAGUGGGUAAAAACCCUUUCCUUUGUGGAGUUGAUCCUAUACCUUCCUGUCAACCUGUUGUUUGUGAAACCCCACAGAUUGCAAAUGCUACUAUACUUUCAUUACAAAAUAUCUUCUACUUCAAUGAUUCAGUAAAAGUUGUAUGUUCAGAAGGGUAUGAAUUAGUAGGUAACUCAACUAUAACCUGUCAACACUAUGGCAACUGGACUUCUUUACCAACAUGCGAAGAGGCUGAGUGCCCUCCUGUGGAAAGGAAUGUUUUUACAUUCGAGGGUACAGUUGACCCAGCUGGUAAGACAAAGUAUGGUGAAAUCGUAAAUAUUACCUGUAAUAUAAAUGUGCAGAAAGUAUAUCAAAGAAGAUGUCUGUAUGACUUGAAGAAUAAAAUAUUCACGACUUUGGGAGAGAGUUCAAAAUGUCACACUAUUGACUGUGGCCAACCUAAACAGAUUCCAGGAAUGGUAAUGCCUGACCAGUUUAACUGCACACAUCAUGGAUGCUCUUUUGAGUUUCAGUGCCUUCAGCCAUUAUUUAAAGUUGCUGGUGAAAGUGCAAUGAAGAAUCAAACAGUGAUUUGUGGCAAAACUGGCCGAUGGACAUUUAAUAAUUUAACUUGUGUUGGUCCAUCAUGCAGUGACCCUGGUACUCCACCAGAUGCAAGACAAAAUUUCACUUCCUACGAAGUAGGAAAUUUAGUCCAAUAUGUUUGUUUGCGACCUGGAUACAAACCAAAACCUCUUUAUCCCUUAAAAUGUGUUGUGAUAAAUAAUGCAGCACAAUGGAAUCAUACAACUCCUGUAUGUGUUGAUGUUGAGAAACCAACAUUUAAAAACUGUCCACCAAAAAUUCUUUAUGUUGAAAGGCUGUCUCGUCUCAACAGAGAAACACCCAUAGCUCAAGAUAAUUCUAAAUACCUGAAAUCAGUCAUUGUGAGGCCAAUACUCUUUCAUAUAAACCAAACAAUCUUAAUUGACACCCCAGUUACAUAUGUUGCAGAAGAUGAUGCAGGCAAUGUAGCUGAAUGCACAUUCCAGAUUGCUAUUAUUGACCACGAAGCUCCGGAAAUAUUCUGUCCCGGAGAUCAGGAAUAUUUUCUGCAAACAAACAAAGUGUUAAAGAAGGAUGACUUUUUAGUAAAUGCUACUGAUAAUUCCAAUUCAGUAACUUUGACUUUUGAACCAGAAGAAUUACACCUUAAGUAUAAGAAGUCUUUAAGUGUUUACACUAUGAAAGUAACUGCCACAGAUCCAUCAAAUAACACAGCAAGUUGUUAUAUCUUUGUUAAAGUUAAAUUUAACAGCAGCGAAAUAUGCAGAGCUGAAAACCUCAUCUUAAAUGCACUAUUGAAUUGUUCAGACAUUCCUGAUAGGGUCAGCUGCACAAUAUCUUGCAGGAAGAAUUAUAAAUUUUACCAUAAUAUUAGUGCAGUCAGUGAAGUUAUCAGCUGUAAUUUUACCAAUGGAUUGAACCGAGAAGCACUUUUUUGUGUUGAAGAAAUAUCGAGUAGCUACCAACUAGCUGUUGUGUAUGUAUAUAAAACAGAGAAUAUUACAUGUAUACAAAAUGAGCUUAUGAAAGAAGUUCCUGGUGUAUAUAAGGAUUUUGCCUCACAGCUUCAUCAGUUUUAUGGUGAAAGGUUUAACAUCACAGAACCAAAAUCAUCUUAUGCAUCACCAGUUUCAACAGAACUGAAAAAUAGUUCGGUUUAUGCGACUGUUCGACUUGAAUAUAAUGGAGAUGCUAAUCUUUGGAGAAAAUUAAAGAGCCACUUUGACUCAUAUUUUGCAAUGAAAUCAGGAACUGACCAUUUUAACCCUAAAUGUGCACCAAAAAAAGAAAUUUUAGACAGCAUAAGUGGUUUCAAGUGUUCUGGGAAUGCAAAGCUUGUUCAAGAAAAUAGAUGUCUUACCUGUCCUCCUGGAACAUAUGGUUUUGAUUUCAAAGACUGUCUACCUUGUCCACAAAAUACUUACAACUCACAGUAUGGCUCAAGUAACUGUACAACAUGCCCUCGUGGGACAUACAACUCUCAAAAGGGCUCUUCAAGUAUACAAGACUGCUUUGAUGGUUGUCCAGAAGGGACUAUCUCAGCAACUGGCCAUAUUCCAUGCAAACUAUGUCCUAUAAAUACUUACCAGUUUAACAAAACGUUUUGUGAAACAUGUCAAGCAGCGCUAUUUACUCAGUAUAAAGGCGCCACCAGUGAUAGACAAUGUGUCGACCAAUGUUAUCCUGGUUACUUUUCUGCAACUGGUUAUGCACCCUGUCAGACAUGUCCUGAGAAUACCUAUAGUAUGUUCCACAAAAGUACCAUGUGUACUCCUUGUAACUAUAAUGAAACAAGUCAACCUGGUUCAAAAUCACGGUCAGGUUGUUCAGAGACUGAUAUUUGUGAUAGAAAUCCUUGUAAAUAUGGUAAUUGUUUAGUUGUCAGACAUCAUUAUGAGUGUGACUGCUUUCCAGGUUAUAAAGGAGAAAAUUGUUCUGUUAGUAUUGAUCCCUGUAUAUCAGAUCCCUGCUACCAUAAUGGUACAUGCCAAUUUACUAAGGAUGGCAAUUACACAUGUUUCUGUGACCCAAAUUUUGUUGGUCGUAACUGUGAAACGAAUAUUAAUCACUGUAAGGUGGAUAGUUGCAAAAAUAAUGGAACCUGCCAGAAUCUAUACAGUACCUUCAGAUGCCUGUGUCCUUCUUGGAAUCAGUAUACUGGAGAUUUUUGUAAUGAAACCACAAGUCCCUGUAGUUCGUCACCAUGUCACAGCAAUGCUACAUGUAUUCUUCAUGGCAAAAAUUUCUAUUGUGAAUGUCCUUCAGGGUAUACUGGAGAACUCUGCAAUAUUGAUAUUGAUGAAUGUCAAUCCAGCCCAUGUUUGAAUAAUGGUACCUGUACAAAUUUACUCGACAUGUUUAGCUGCAGUUGUCAAUCAGGAUUCUCAGGAAGAUUCUGUGAAUUGUAUAGUGACCCAUGUAGUCUUGUUAACUGUACAAGCAACUCAAAAUGUAUUCCAGACUCUUCCACAAACAAUGCUAUGUGUGUAUGUUACCCAAAUUUCUACAAAGAUAAUAAUGGACUAUGUGUUCCUAUAAAUUCUUGCAAAACUAUAACUUGCCAAAAUGGUGGCACAUGCAUUGAAAAUAAAGGUACUAUUUCAUGUCAGUGCAAUCCGGGAUAUGAAGGGUCCCUUUGCCAAUAUAAUUCUAAAGCGUGUGGCAAUCUCACUUGUCAAAAUGGAACUGUAUGCCAAGAAGACAAAGGUAUAUACCAAUGUGUCUCUAAUUCCAAUCAAACUAAAGCUGAAGAAACUAGAACUGUCUGCUCUUUUAAUGUAACAAACAACUGCACUAAUUUUGAUCCAAGAAACCAUAAUUGUUUGGUCAAUGGAAUAGCUGGAGUUUACUGUAAGGAAAAUCCUUGCCAAGGUAUCCAAGAGAAUGGUACAUGUCCAUGCUUACCAGCAUUUGUCAAUGAAUGUGAUAGUAAACCCUGUUUAAAUGGGGCUACAUGUCUUCAGAGUGGAAACUCCUCGCGUUGCAUAUGUUCAUCUGGUUAUUAUGGAAAGACUUGUGAACGUAAAAUUGAUGCAUGCCAAACAGUAAACCAUUGUCUAGGGUCGAAUAGCAGCUGUCGGAUGGUCAAUAAUAAAGCUACUUGUAUCUGCCCUACAGGUUUUGGAGGAAUUGGCUGUCAAGACAAAUCUUUAUGUUCCCCUGAAUCUUGUCAGAAUAAAGGCAUCUGUUUGGAGAAGUCAAAUAAUAUAACGUGCACUUGUCCACUUGGAUUUACUGGUGAAGUUUGUGAGAAUGUUACUAAUCCAUGCUCCAAGAAAUCCUGUGCUGGACAGAAAUGUCAAGUAAAGAAUAAUCAAGCAACCUGCAUGUGUCCUUCGAAUAAAUGGGGGUCUCAAUGUCUCAGAGAUAUCCCCUAUGGAAGUGACUUGGUAGUUCUGAAACCCAAAGGGUUUUUUGUACCAAUGAAUGCACCUGAGUUUAGUCGUAUCAUAGAGGAUCAGUUGACCAUGACCUUCUGGAUAAAGUACAAUGAAGACAUGAACAAUGAGAAACAGGCAUCUGCUACAAGUAUAUGUCUCUACGGAUCAAAUGAUUUGAUAAAUCCAGUAUUCAGUGCUAAGGAAUUGGUACAUUUACAAGGUAACACCCUGUCCCUCCAGAUGUUUGAUGACACACACACCGUUACCUUGAAAUCUUUAACUAAUGGAAUCUGGCAUCAUGUGAUACUACAAUGGAGCAAUAGUGAUGGAAUUCUCUUGGUUUAUCACAAUGGAGACUUAACUUUAGAAAAAAAUCUCGGUAAUGGAAAACAAAUUCCACCACUGGGUUUACUAGUUGUUGGUGGGAAAUUAAACACAAAACAAAGUGCAAUUGAAGCCUCUUAUUUCUCUGGUCGGAUCAGUCGUUUAUGGAUUCUCAACCAAACUUUAUCGAAAGAAAAUUUACAGAAUUUUUGGAAAAACCCAAGCCAAACACCAUCAAAUAUUUUGAGCAAUCUUGUGAAAAAUAUGCUAAUGUUGCCAAAUUAUUUGUUGGAUUUCCAGUCUGAAAUAAAACCAGAUAUGUGUGAGAUCAAGAAAAAUUGUCCACAAACAAAUAAAAUAUCAUCGCCAACCGUGAUUAAAUGCCCCUCUGACAAGCUGUAUAUAUCUAAGCCCUGGAGUACUCUGAAGUGGAACAAACCAGAGUUUAAAGAUGUUGACAGAGUUAUUUCUAAUUAUAAACCAGAAGUUACCAAUUUUGAUUGGGAUGACUAUACUGUGAUCUACAUUGGUUUUGACCAAUACAAUUCAUCAGCUGUGUGCACUUUCAGAAUUUUUAACCACCAAUUUGAAUGUAAAAAACCAAGUGAUCCAUUUGAAGGCACGCAACAUUGUUGGACAGAAAAUGAUUCACUGCUGUGUAAGCCAAAAUGUAAUGAUGCUAGUCAUAAAUUAGUAUUACUUGGACCCAGUUUUUAUGCCUGUGGUCCUUAUCACAUGUGGGGCAAGCAUAACCAGUCAGUUCCUUUCAAAUAUCCACCUUGUUCAGCUACUAGUAAAAGUUUGAAAAACAUUACUCUGGAAUUUUCCAUUGAAUUUAAACAGCCAUAUGAUGACAGCCAGUUUUCAAGCAUCUGUAAACUGAUAAAAGCAAGCUUGAAAGAAGUUCUUGAGAACCGCACAGAUGUCUCUUGUCCUACAGGAGAUUGUAAGUUAGUUGUAACAAUUAAUGGCAAAGCAUGUGCUAUAGAUUCUCAAGAUAUAAUUCGCAAGAAGAGAAGUACUUCAACUUCAAAUGUGGCUAAUAUUCAAGUUGGUAUUAAUGGAAUAGUUUUAAAUCCAUCUCAGAACCAGAGCACUAAUUUGACACAAGAUAUGAUUGUAGCAUUAAUUGGUAACAAUGAACUUAACACACAGCUGAGUGCAAUGAAUGCAAGUUUGGUCUUGUCUUCAGUAAAGCCUCAAGUAGUUAGUUAUUGCACUGCAGGUGUUUUACAGGGAUCAAGCUGUGUUGAAGCUGGCCCUGGGACAUUUUGGUCCAGUAAGCACAAUACUGUGAAAUCAUGUCCAAAGGGCACAUACCAGCCAAAUUCCAGAAGUAGUAGCUGUAAUAAUUGUACAAGUGGUAAAACUACUGAAACAAUUCAAUCUGUCCAGGAAAGUGAAUGCAAAGACACAUGCCCUGAGGGUUCCUAUUUCCAGUCAUCCACAUCUAAAUGUACACAAUGUAGUGUUGGCUUCUAUCAAGACCAGCCUGGAAUGUUCCAGUGUGAAAUUUGCAGACAAGGUAACACAACAAACGAAAAAGGUAGCACCAGUGAGUCAGAAUGUGUAAUACUUGCGGAGAAAAAAAGUGAUAAUACUAAACUUAGAACAGCUGCAAUUGUUACUAUAGUAGUUGUCCUAACACUAUUGCUUUUGGCGAUAAUUCUCGUGGUUUACUUCUGGAAGCAUCUGAAGAAACGUUGCCCUUGUGGCAACAAAGUUAAAAAAAUAUCACCAAUAGUCAUUACUGGCAAUGGGAAGACGCCAAGCAGUCAUUAGACUGCAGCCAUGCUGGGGCACUGUCUUGAAGAAUUUUAGUCAAAUGAAUCAACCCUAGUCUUUUUUUUUUUUUUUUUGUUACACUUGUGAAGUUAUCAUCCUUCCCGCUAAAGUAAUUAACAGCCCAGCAAAAUCUACAGAAGAUUAUUCACCAAGAAUCUAUAACCUGCAGGAUUCAUC